GAGGGAAGGCCCCUCGGUCUCGGUGACCAGACACCGGGAUCAAACCGCCCUGUGCGGCUCGCAUUAAGAGUGCGGGUCGUGAGCGACAGGGGAAAAGGCCGCCAAGACAUUUCUAGGG
rfam:Marinobacter sp. JG233 contig1, whole genome shotgun sequence.